rnacentral:rRNA from 2 species
CCCCGCAAGGGGAGCGGCAGACGGGUGAGUAACACGUGGGAAUCUACCCAUCCCUGCGGAACAACUCCGGGAAACUGGAGCUAAUACCGCAUACGCCCUUAGGGGGAAAGAUUUAUCGGGGAUGGAUGAGCCCGCGUUGGAUUAGCUAGUUGGUGGGGUAAAGGCCUACCAAGGCGACGAUCCAUAGCUGGUCUGAGAGGAUGAUCAGCCACAUUGGGACUGAGACACGGCCCAAACUCCUACGGGAGGCAGCAGUGGGGAAUAUUGGACAAUGGGCGCAAGCCUGAUCCAGCCAUGCCGCGUGAGUGAUGAAGGCCUUAGGGUUGUAAAGCUCUUUCACCGAUGAAGAUAAUGACGGUAGUCGGAGAAGAAGCCCCGGCUAACUUCGUGCCAGCAGCCGCGGUAAUACGAAGGGGGCUAGCGUUGUUCGGAAUUACUGGGCGUAAAGCGCACGUAGGCGGAUAUUUAAGUCAGGGGUGAAAUCCCGCAGCUCAACUGCGGAACUGCCUUUGAUACUGGGUAUCUUGAGUAUGGAAGAGGUUAGUGGAAUUGCGAGUGUAGAGGUGAAAUUCGUAGAUAUUCGCAGGAACACCAGUGGCGAAGGCGGCUAACUGGUCCAUAACUGACGCUGAGGUGCGAAAGCGUGGGGA